AACGAACGCUGGCGGCAUGCCUAACACAUGCAAGUCGAACGAGACCUUCGGGUCUAGUGGCGCACGUGUGCGUAACGCGUGGGAACCUGCCCUUAGGUUCGGAAUAACUCCCCGAAAGGGGUGCUAAUACCGGAUAAUGUCUUCGGACCAAAGAUUUAUCGCCUUUGGAUGGGCCCGCGUUGGAUUAGCUAGUUGGUAGGGUAAAAGCCUACCAAGGCGACGAUCCAUAGCUGGUCUGAGAGGAUGAUCAGCCACACUGGGACUGAGACACGGCACAGACUCCUACGGGAGGCAGCAGUGGGGAAUAUUGGACAAUGGGCGAAAGACUGAUCCAGCAAUGCCGCGUGAGUGAUGAAGGCCUUAGGGUUGUAAAGCUCUUUUACCCGGGAUGAUAAUGACAGUACCGGGAGAAUAAGCUCCGGCUAACUCCGUG
rnacentral:rRNA from 1 species